rnacentral:tRNA from 1 species
GGCGUGGCUCAGUGGUAGAGCACUUGCCUAGAAAGCAGAGGGCCUUGAGUUCAAAACCCAGUGCC